AAGAGGGAUUCGGAAUCCUUCUUUCGAACCCUCGUUUGAAAACCCUCAAUCGAAAAUGCACCUCUUCCAUCCUUUGAUUCUCUCGAUCGACGUUGUAAGAGGAGAUUUUCAAGAGCCAUUGAAGAGGAGCCAAUAAAAAACUCCGAAAAUUAUAAGAGCAAUGCUCAAGAGGAGCUGAUUGCCGUUGAUACACUCCAACAAGGGGUUUUAUCUUAGGGUUGCCGCAUUCGCACUCCACCAAGACAAUUGCAGACGAGAUGAUGGUGGAGAAUCGGCUUGUAGCGAUAGUGGCAUGGGGUUGCAGGGUUGCGGGGAUGGCUGACUGUGAGAUGGUGCAGUCACAAGCGAUGGAGGUCGGCAACGACAGUCGAAAGAUGGUCCGGGACGGGUUGUGUUUUCCCUCUCUUUCCAUGCAAUUUCCUCAACGUCUUGCUCAAAAUGCCAACAUUAUUGAUGCUUUUCGGCCAUUUGCAGGGUUUUCAGCUCGCUCUGUUGCUCCAUAUGCAAGAUAUCGUGCGAGAAUGGAGGAAAAUGAUGGUUUCUAGAGAUCUCUAGGGUGUCAGCAAGUUUCAUGUUGAUAUAUUUGGUAUCUUUGAUUCAGUUUCUUGAUAGGGAUAUAAUAUUUGACUGGUUCUAAAUUUGUCUGUUGAGUUCAUGAUGUGAAUGUACUUAGGUCAUCUACAAUUCUUUACAUUUAUAUUCCUGUUGUGUUUAUUGAUGCAGGAAAACUCAUGUAAAUGUUGGGACUAUUGGACAUGUUGAUCAUGGGAAAACUACCCUCAUAUCAGCCAUUACAAAUGUUGAUUCGUAGUUGAUGUAUUUUAUGCUUCCAUAUAUUUAUCUUUGUUAGUGGACCCCAAUCAGUUGUGAUAAGCCGGGAAUGAUGAUGAUAUUGAUCUUAUUUGUCUCUCUCUAGAUCCAGAGUUGAUUUGUUUUGUCUGUGUUUAUGAUUGAGUUAUCCCUGUGAAGAGAUCAUGUGGCAUUCUAAUUUUUAUGGGCUUUCUAUAGUUACUGGCAGAAGACAGUAAAGCUAAUGCUGUUUCGAGGAUAAAGCUCAAGGAAUUACUAUUGCAUCAGUUAGGAUGCCAUUUUCUUUCUUCGAUCAUGCACAUCAUGUGACUGUUUCCAUGCAUCCAAACACAAAGUUACUGAUGAGUUAAUUGAAGAAAAUCCAAUCAUAGGUUGUCACCAUGAAAACCUCUUAUUGAGAAGAUGCUUGUUUCUAGAGUUCUGCAUGUGUUCUGGUUCCUGGUGGAUUUGAGGACCUUAGAGUGCAAGGAUGAUAUUGGUUGUAAAAUAUGCCACAGAGAAUGACGUUCCAUAUCUUGGCAUUUACUUGGAAAUGCAGAUUUCUGUCAUUGAGUUUGCUAGAUGUGUCCGCAACCAUCUCUUUUUUCCUUUACUUAUUUCUAUGGGCACCAUACGAAUGUUAGCCUUUCCUUGUUUGUGAAACUUGGUUAGCUUUUGUGUUUGGAAAGAGCAAACAGUGUGGAGUUUGACCUUGAUACACCUAACCCUGUUGUAAUUUUCAUGCCAGAGGUACAUGCUCGUUUGGAUGUCCAUGAAAUCCAUGGCGGAUUGUGAUUGGCCACGAUCCUGGCACUGAUUGGGUGGAGAACCUUCCCAACAGGAUAGCUGAGUGCAGAACACCUAAUCUAAAAGCUCGUCUGAACACAUUCUGCAAGGAGUUCCAUGCAGCUGAGUAGACAGAUAACUUUUUAAUUUGUAUUGUGCUUUUAUGAUUGCAUGUUGAUCUCAUCUCAUUUUACUGAACUGUUUGAAUUUUCUUUAGUUUCCCAUAUCCACUUCGUUUCUAUGAUCACUCUAUAAGAUCUAAUAUAAAAUAUAAAAUAGGGAGAAAGAAAACAAAACUGAGACAACCCACGAUGUAAUUUUGUUUUUCAUGCUUGUUGAUGACAAUUGGACGACUAAGAUAGCCCACAAUGUGAUUUUUUAUUCCUUCACAUGUCUGCUACAAGUAGAACCUGCGUCACGAUUGAUUAGAAUUCACGUGUGCAUCUAGUGUAUGGUCCACAGUCCACACUAUGCGGAUAUGAUGCACCACACAGAUGUGAGUAUAUAUUGUUGGCAUUGGAUGCGGUUUGGCUGGUGACCCCAAUGCUAGCUAGAUAGCUGGUGUCAAAGCUCCGUGGGCCCCACCCUGAUGUAUGUGUUUUAUCCGCAUUGACCAUCCCUUUUGACAGUACAUUUUAGAGACCCCAAACAUGAGGUAGAUCCAAAGCUCAAGUGGACAACACCAUGGGAAAAAGUGAGGUUUGAGUGAUGAUAUUUGUGUGUUUUCUUCCUUCAGGUCUAUGUGACCUUAUGAAUAGGUCGGAUGACAAAUAAACAUUAUUGUGGGCCCUAUAUAGGCUUCAAUGAUGGAUGCCAUCAUUCCCAUAGGUCACGGUAGGGCUCAUGCGUGUGUUUUAACAUGCCGUCCAACUUUUUUUUAAAAGCUCAUUUUAGCUCAUUUUAAGAAAUGAUCACCACUGUUACCUGCAUUAUAGUUAGCCUGAGAUUUGGAUCUUCUUCAUUUUUGGGAUCAUGUCUAAAAUGAGUUUUAAAAACGGAUUGACAGCAUAGAUAUAAAGCACAUAAAUCACAGGCAGUGGGGUUGAUUAAAUGUAUAUCCAAUCAUGGUGGGGGUCUUUUUUUUUUGUCCUAAAUUAUAGGAAAGCUGGGCUUGAACCAGAGACCUCAUUGUUGAAACAAGGCCUGUCUGCCAUUGCUCUACGGGCUCAAACCCAUCAGGUGGGCUUUGAUAUCAAACUUCUAUGUGGUAUAACACAGUGAUAAUGAUGUGUCUGUUCCGCUUUCUGAAAUUUCAUCAUAAUUUUUUUAAUACAUGAAAUAACACUAACAAUAUGCGCCUGUUCCACAUUCUGAAAUUUCAUUCUACGUUGUCUCCAGACAUGUUAAAAGUUCAUGGGCUUCUUCUUUAGAUGUAGCGAGCGCCUAAGCAAUGAUGACAAGGUCUUGAUUGCUUGAAUGCGGUUGAACGGCUUGUCAUAUACAUUAGGGGAGUGGUUAUAUGCUCUUCUUCAACUCGAGGUUUCAGUUUGUGCAAGCGGGGCCAUGGUCAUGUGAUCCCUAAAUUUCUUUACUGGGCUCCAGUGUAGAUGGAGCCUCUCGAUUUGUGCCAAACAAAUAGACAAGUAAGGAGGAGGUUUGUGGGCCAUGGUUGGAUCACGGACCAACAGUUUGGACCACUGAAACAUGGUCCCACUUGUACAAACUGGUUCUUGUCAGUCUGUUUCAUAAUUGAUGGUUUUCUAUCCGUAGUAUAACACAAUCAUCUAUCUGUUCCGCUUUAUGAAGUUUCAUUAUCAUUUUCUAAUACUUGACAUAACGCCAAGAAUGCAUCUGUUCCACAUUCUGAAAUUUCAUUCUAUCGGGUGGGCUUCUUCUUUAGAUUUAGGCAGUACCCAAGCAAUGAUGGCAAGGCCUUCAUUGAUUGAACGCAGUUGAAUAGCUUGUCAAAUACAUUAGGAGAUUGGUUAUAUGAUCUUCAACCCUAAUUUUCAGUUUGUACAACUAGGGCCCAUGGCUAUGUGAUCCCUACAAAUGGUUUAUUGGGCUCCGGUGUAGAUAGGGCAUACAAUCCUAGCCUCUUGACUUUGCCUAGCAAAUAGUCAGGUAAGGAGGUGGCUUUUGGGCCAUGGCAAGUCGGAUCCGACCAACAGUUUGGACCACCAAAGCAUGAGCAUGGUCCCACUUGUACAAACUGGUUCUUGUCUAGUCCAUUUCAUUCUUGAUGGUUUUAGUACUGGGUGAGGGAUUCUUUUAGAAGGGUAUUAUCAUAUUUCCCAGGGCAGGGAAAAUAGAAAAGAAGAAAAAUAGACUUAGCUUUGGAUUGUUUAGUGGUUUUGUUUAACUAAUUUACAUAGAUUUUUAUUGUGAUUUGUUUCAACUUUUCAUCUACUUGCGUGUAACAUAAGGUAACAAAAGUUUUUUUCUUCAUUUCAACUUUUUUUUUGGAUAAAAUGUUCUAAUUUUAAUAUUAAAAGAAUUACAUAGUAGCUUGAUCCCAAACCACCUGUUUGGGUAUGUAGGCAGCCGUUCGUACUGGACCAUAUUGGUACAACCACAAAUUUUUGUUUCCUUGCAAGAUGAGCAGCUCUCUCUCUCUCUCUCUCUCUCUCUCUC